rnacentral:rRNA from 1 species
AUUGAACGCUGGCGGCAGGCCUAACACAUGCAAGUCGAGCGGAGCGGCGGACGGGUGAGUAAUGACUAGGAAACUGCCUGGUCGUGGGGGAUAACGUCCGGAAACGGGAGCUAAUACCGAAUACUAUCUGCUGAGCCUAGGUCGGAUUAGCGAGUUGGUGCGGUAAAGGCGUACAAAGGCGACGAUCCGUAACAGGUCUGAGAGGAUGAUCAGUCAACCUGUAACUGAGACACGGUCCAGACUCCUACGGGAGGCAGCAGUUGGGAAUAUUGGGCAAUGGGCGAAAGCCUGAUCGAGCCAUGCCGCGUGUGUGAUGAAGGUCUUCGGAUUGUAAAGCUCUUUAAGUUGGGAAGCGUUACCUACUGAGUAAGCACCGGCUAACUUCGUGCCAGCAGCCGCGGUAAUAC